rnacentral:rRNA from 1 species
UACAGAGGGUGCAAGCGUUGUUCGGAAUUACUGGGCGUAAAGCGCGACGCAGGCGGGUUUGUAAGUUCGGAAGUGAAAUCUCACUGCUCAACGGUGGGGCUGCUUCUGAUACUGCAAAUCUUGAGACCGGUAGAGGUUGGUAGAAUUGCAGGUGUAGCGGUGGAAUGCGUAGAUAUCUGGAGGAACACCGUGCGAAGGCGGCAUCUGGACCGGCAUUGACGCGUGAGCGACGGAAGCCAGGGAAGCAAAGCGGG